GACGAACGCUGGCGGCGUGCUUAACACAUGCAAGUCGAACGGAAAGGCCCUGCUUUUGUGGGGUGCUCGAGUGGCGAACGGGUGAGUAACACGUGAGUAACCUGCCCUUGACUUUGGGAUAACUUCAGGAAACUGGGGCUAAUACCGGAUAGGAGCUCCUGCUGCAUGGUGGGGGUUGGAAAGUUUCGGCGGUUGGGGAUGGACUCGCGGCUUAUCAGCUUGUUGGUGGGGUAGUGGCUUACCAAGGCUUUGACGGGUAGCCGGCCUGAGAGGGUGACCGGCCACAUUGGGACUGAGGUACGGACCAGACUCCAACGGGAGGCAGCAGUGGGGAAUAUUGCACAAUGGGCGGAAGCCUGAUGCAGCAGCGCCGCGUGCGGGAUGACGGCCUUCGGGGUGUAAACCGCUUUCGCCUGUGACGAAGCGUGAGUGACGGUAAUGGGUAAAGAAGCACCGGCUAACUACGUG
rnacentral:rRNA from 1 species